AUUGAACGCUGGCGGCAGGCUUAACACAUGCAAGUCGAGCGGGGAAGGGUAGCUUGCUACCUGACCUAGCGGCGGACGGGUGAGUAAUGCUUAGGAAUCUGCCUAUUAGUGGGGGACAACAUUCCGAAAGGAAUGCUAAUACCGCAUACGCCCUACGGGGGAAAGCAGGGGAUCUUCGGACCUUGCGCUAAUAGAUGAGCCUAAGUCAGAUUAGCUAGUUGGUGGGGUAAAGGCCUACCAAGGCGACGAUCUGUAGCGGGUCUGAGAGGAUGAUCCGCCACACUGGGACUGAGACACGGCCCAGACUCCUACGGGAGGCAGCAGUGGGGAAUAUUGGACAAUGGGCGCAAGCCUGAUCCAGCCAUGCCGCGUGUGUGAAGAAGGCCUUUUGGUUGCAAAGCACUUUAAGCGAGGAGGAGGCUACUUGGAUUAAUACUCUAGGAUAGUGGACGUUACUCGCAGAAUAAGCACCGGCUAACUCUGUGCCAGCAGCCGCGGUAAUACAGAGGGUGCGAGCGUUAAUCGGAUUUACUGGGCGUAAAGCGUGCGUAGGCGGCUUUUUAAGUCGGAUGUGAAAUCCCUGAGCUUAACUUAGGAAUUGCAUUCGAUAGUGGGAAGCUAGAGUAUGGGAGAGGAUGGUAGAAUUCCAGGUGUAGCGGUGAAAUGCGUAGAGAUCUGGAGGAAUACCGAUGGCGAAGGCAGCCAUCUGGCCUAAUACUGACGCUGAGGUACGAAAGCAUGGGGAGCAAACAG
rnacentral:rRNA from 1 species